GGUUAAGCGACUAAGCGUACACGGUGGAUGCCCUGGCAGUCAGAGGCGAUGAAGGACGUGCUAAUCUGCGAAAAGCGUCGGUAAGGUGAUAUGAACCGUUACAGCCGGCGAUGUCCGAAUGGGGAAACCCAGUGCAAUUCGUUGCACUAUCGUUAACUGAAUACAUAGGUUAACGAGGCGAACCGGGGGAACUGAAACAUCUAAGUACCCCGAGGAAAAGAAAUCAACCGAGAUUCCCCCAGUAGCGGCGAGCGAACGGGGAGCAGCCCAGAGUCUGAAUCAGCUUGUGUGUUAGUGGAACGGUCUGGAAAGUCCGACGGUACAGGGUGAUAGUCCCGUACACCAAAAUGCACAGGUUGUGAACUCGAAGAGUAGGGCGGGACACGUGGUAUCCUGUCUGAAUAUGGGGGGACCAUCCUCCAAGGCUAAAUACUCCUGACUGACCGAUAGUGAACCAGUACCGUGAGGGAAAGGCGAAAAGAACCCCGGCGAGGGGAGUGAAAAAGAACCUGAAACCGUGUACGUACAAGCAGUGGGAGCACCUUUAUGGUGUGACUGCGUACCUUUUGUAUAAUGGGUCAGCGACUUAUAUUCUGUAGCAAGGUUAACCGUAUAGGGGAGCCGCAGGGAAACCGAGUCUUAACUGGGCGUUAAGUUGCAGGGUAUAGACCCGAAACCCGGUGAUCUAGCCAUGGGCAGGUUGAAGGUUGGGUAACACUAACUGGAGGACCGAACCGACUAAUGUUGAAAAAUUAGCGGAUGACUUGUGGCUGGGGGUGAAAGGCCAAUCAAACCGGGAGAUAGCUGGUUCUCCCCGAAAGCUAUUUAGGUAGCGCCUCGUGAAUUCAUCUUCGGGGGUAGAGCACUGUUUCGGCUAGGGGGUCAUCCCGACUUACCAACCCGAUGCAAACUACGAAUACCGAAGAAUGUUAUCACGGGAGACACACGGCGGGUGCUAACGUCCGUCGUGAAGAGGGAAACAACCCAGACCGCCAGCUAAGGUCCCAAAGUCACAGUUAAGUGGGAAACGAUGUGGGAAGGCACAGACAGCCAGGAUGUUGGCUUAGAAGCAGCCAUCAUUUAAAGAAAGCGUAAUAGCUCACUGGUCGAGUCGGCCUGCGCGGAAGAUGUAACGGGGCUAAACUGUGCACCGAAGCUGCGGCAGCGACACUAUGUGUUGUUGGGUAGGGGAGCGUUCUGUAAGCCUGCGAAGGUGGCCUGUGAGGGUUGCUGGAGGUAUCAGAAGUGCGAAUGCUGACAUAAGUAACGAUAAUGCGGGUGAAAAGCCCGCACGCCGGAAGACCAAGGGUUCCUGUCCAACGUUAAUCGGGGCAGGGUGAGUCGACCCCUAAGGCGAGGCCGAAAGGCGUAGUCGAUGGGAAACAGGUUAAUAUUCCUGUACUUGGUGUUACUGCGAAGGGGGGACGGAGAAGGCUAUGUUAGCCGGGCGACGGUUGUCCCGGUUUAAGCAUGUAGGCGGAGGUUCCAGGUAAAUCCGGUACCUUUUAACGCUGAGGUGUGAUGACGAGGCACUACGGUGCUGAAGUAACAAAUGCCCUGCUUCCAGGAAAAGCCUCUAAGCAUCAGGUAACAUUAAAUCGUACCCCAAACCGACACAGGUGGUCAGGUAGAGAAUACCAAGGCGCUUGAGAGAACUCGGGUGAAGGAACUAGGCAAAAUGGUGCCGUAACUUCGGGAGAAGGCACGCUGAUGUGUAGGUGAAGCCCCUGCGGGUGGAGCUGAAAUCAGUCGAAGAUACCAGCUGGCUGCAACUGUUUAUUAAAAACACAGCACUGUGCAAACACGAAAGUGGACGUAUACGGUGUGACGCCUGCCCGGUGCCGGAAGGUUAAUUGAUGGGGUUAUCCGUAAGGAGAAGCUCUUGAUCGAAGCCCCGGUAAACGGCGGCCGUAACUAUAACGGUCCUAAGGUAGCGAAAUUCCUUGUCGGGUAAGUUCCGACCUGCACGAAUGGCGUAAUGAUGGCCAGGCUGUCUCCACCCGAGACUCAGUGAAAUUGAACUCGCUGUGAAGAUGCAGUGUACCCGCGGCAAGACGGAAAGACCCCGUGAACCUUUACUAUAGCUUGACACUGAACAUUGAGCCUUGAUGUGUAGGAUAGGUGGGAGGCUUUGAAGCGUGGACGCCAGUCUGCGUGGAGCCAACCUUGAAAUACCACCCUUUAAUGUUUGAUGUUCUAACGUUGGCCCCUGACCGGGGUUGCGGACAGUGUCUGGUGGGUAGUUUGACUGGGGCGGUCUCCUCCCAAAGAGUAACGGAGGAGCACGAAGGUUAGCUAAUCCUGGUCGGACAUCAGGAGGUUAGUGCAAUGGCAUAAGCUAGCUUGACUGCGAGCGUGACGGCGCGAGCAGGUGCGAAAGCAGGUCAUAGUGAUCCGGUGGUUCUGAAUGGAAGGGCCAUCGCUCAACGGAUAAAAGGUACUCCGGGGAUAACAGGCUGAUACCGCCCAAGAGUUCAUAUCGACGGCGGUGUUUGGCACCUCGAUGUCGGCUCAUCACAUCCUGGGGCUGAAGUAGGUCCCAAGGGUAUGGCUGUUCGCCAUUUAAAGUGGUACGCGAGCUGGGUUUAGAACGUCGUGAGACAGUUCGGUCCCUAUCUGCCGUGGGCGCUGGAGAAUUGAGGGGGGCUGCUCCUAGUACGAGAGGACCGGAGUGGACGCAUCACUGGUGUUCGGGUUGUCAUGCCAAUGGCAUUGCCCGGUAGCUAAAUGCGGAAGAGAUAAGUGCUGAAAGCAUCUAAGCACGAAACUUGCCCCGAGAUGAGUUCUCCCUGAGACUUUAAGUCUCCUGAAGGAACGUUAAAGACGAUGACGUUGAUAGGUCGGGUGUGUAAGCGUAGCGAUACGUUGAGCUAACCGAUACUAAUGAACCGUGAGGCUUAACCUU
rnacentral:rRNA from 1 species